GCCACCCUCCAUACCAAACUAUGCGGGGGAAAAAUGGUGAUGUCAGACUGGCAAAAGUAAUGAACUGCUAGAGAGACUUGAGCACCAGGAUGCCCAAAGCCUGACUCAUUGAACUGAGAAGCUGUCUUGUGUUGUGCCAUGCUAGGGUUCAAAUUCAUGUUUGUCUCUUCAUUUUGGAUUCUUUGAUUUAUGUGCAUCAUUCUUUAUCUUUGGUUUUUGCCCUUUGUAGGUAGUCCCCCAAGAAGUGGGACCACCUUCCAAUCCCCCGUAUAUCUGGAGUGUCUCCCACAGUUCCUUGUGGUUCGUUGGGAAUGCACUGGGGACUCGCUUAUGGAGAACUGACGAUGAAAGUUGCCGUGUGUGGUCAGCUGCACUUUGCUGAGGGGCCCCAGCGCACUACUUUGCCCAGGAGCCUACGAUGCUUGUAAGACGGCCCUGCACUGACAACCAAACUUAACUAUGUAAGCAAAGAUCUUCAAGUAAGCCAGUAUUCAUUUUCACACAUUUCUUUCUAUAUUUGGGCCAAAAUGUAAUGUGCUUCUUUGAGGUUUAUUUUUUACAUAAAGAUAAAUAGACAGUGGCCAGAUGUUACCUUGUUUGUCCCAAAAGGGAUAUGAAUAGCUGAAUUUGUUAUAACAUAUUUAAGUAACAUGCCUCCUAUUCCUUUAACAGCUGGAUUGUCUCAUUUAUUUGUGUCCGCUCGGAAAUGAAUUAUUAACCGGUUAAUAUUGUCACCUACAUCAUAGACAUACUGUAUAUAGAUAGAUGCCACAUUCACUGGGUUGCCCAGUCGAGACAA